ACAGCAGCCGCCGCGGUAAUACGGAGGGAGCAAGCGUUAUCCAGAUUUAUUGGGUUUAAAGGGUCCGUAGGCGGAUCUGUAAGUCAGUGGUGAAAUCUCACAGCUUAACUGUGAAACUGCCAUUGAUACUGCAGGUCUUGAGUAAAUUUGAAGUGGCUGGAAUAAGUAGUGUAGCGGUGAAAUGCAUAGAUAUUACUUAGAACACCAAUUGCGAAGGCAGGUCACUAAGAUUUAACUGACGCUGAUGGACGAAAGCGUGGGGAGCGAACAGGAUUAGAUACCCCUGUAGUCCCUGUCUCUUAUAC
rnacentral:rRNA from 1 species